AACGAACGCUGGCGGCAGGCUUAACACAUGCAAGUCGAACGGUUGUAGCAAUACAGCAGUGGCAGACGGGUGAGUAACACGUGGGAACCUUCCUAGGGGUACGGAACAACUCAGGGAAACUUGAGCUAAUACCGUAUACGUCCGUGAGGAGAAAGAUUUAUCGCCCUUAGACGGGCCCGCGUCGGAUUAGCUAGUUGGUGGGGUAACGGCCUACCAAGGCGACGAUCCGUAGCUGAUCUUAGAGGAUGAUCAGCCACACUGGGACUGAGACACGGCCCAGACUCCUACGGGAGGCAGCAGUGGGGAAUCUUGGACAAUGGGCGCAAGCCUGAUCCAGCCAUGCCGCGUGAGUGAAGAAGGUCUUCGGAUUGUAAAGCUCUUUUACCAGGGACGAUAAAUGACGGUACCUGGAGAAUAAGCCCCGGCAAACUUCGUGCCAGCAGCCGCGGUAAGGCUACGUAGA
rnacentral:rRNA from 1 species